GUGAGGAAUAUUGCGCAAUGGAGGCAACUCUGACGCAGCCAUGCCGCGUGCAGGAAGAAGGCGCUACGCGUUGUAAACUGCUUUUAACCGGGAAGAAACCCCAGGACGUGUCCUGGGUUGACGGUACCGGAGGAAUAAGCACCGGCUAACUUCGUGCCAGCAGCCGCGGUAAUACGAAGGGUGCAAGCGUUAUCCGGAUUCAUUGGGUUUAAAGGGUGCGUAGGCGGAGCGUUAAGUCAGUGGUGAAAUCCUGCAGCUUAACUGUAGACUUGCCAUUGAUACUGGCGCUCUUGAGUGCGUUUGAAGUGGGCGGAAUGUGCCGUGUAGCGGUGAAAUGCUUAGAUAUGGCACAGAACACCAAUUGCGAAGGCAGCUCACUAAGGCGAUACUGACGCUGAGGCACGAAAGCGUGGGGAUCGAACAGGAUUAGAUACCCUGGUAGUCC
rnacentral:rRNA from 1 species